rnacentral:rRNA from 1 species
GACGAACGCUGGCGGCGUGCUUAACACAUGCAAGUCGAACGGAAAGGCCCUGCUUUUGUGGGGUGCUCGAGUGGCGAACGGGUGAGUAACACGUGAGUAACCUGCCCUUGGCUUUGGGAUAACUUCAGGAAACUGGGGCUAAUACCGGAUAGGAGCUCCUGCUGCAUGGUGGGGGUUGGAAAGUUUCGGCGGUUGGGGAUGGACUCGCGGCUUAUCAGCUUGUUGGUGGGGUAGUGGCUUACCAAGGCUUUGACGGGUAGCCGGCCUGAGAGGGUGACCGGCCACAUUGGGACUGAGAUACGGCCCAGACUCCUACGGGAGGCAGCAGUGGGGAAUAUUGCACAAUGGGCGGGAGCCUGAUGCAGCAACGCCGCGUGCGGGAUGACGGCCUUCGGGUUGUAAACCGCUUUCGCCUGUGACGAAGCGUGAGUGACGGUAAUGGGUAAAGAAGCACCGGCUAACUACGUG